UUUUUUUUUUUUUUGCGGUACGCAGGCCUCUCACUGUUGUGGCCUCUCCUGCUGCGGAGCACAGGCUCCGGACGCGCAGGCUCAGCGGCCAUGGCUCACGGGCCCAGCCGCUCCGCGGCAUGUGGGAUCUUCCCGGACCGGAGCACGAACCCGUGUCCCCUGCAUUGGCAGGCAGACUCUCAACCACUGCGCCACCAGGGAAGCCCUCUUGUAGGAUAAUUUUUGUUUGGUUUGGUUUUAGAAAAUUUACUGAGAAAUGGAGGGGUAUAAUUAGAAUAAGAACAAAAAACGUAAUCCCCUGAGAUUAUUUUAUAAAAUUCAUAGUUUGCUCACCCCAUGGCAAAGUAAUCACAAGAUUGAUCUACUAAUAACUUCAAGGUAUAGCCCUAGAGUAGCUUUAAACAAAGACAUUAGUCUGUAUUCAGCAUUAUUUUCAACCUGGCUUAUUCUAUGAGUAUGAUUUAUAACCCUGAACUAUGAUUUAUCAUAUAUAUCAAGAGAGAUAGUUUCACAUUUUCUAGUGCUAUCUUUGUUUCAGCUCAUGUUUCUUAUAAGAAAAUUGCAAAUAAUUCAUCAAGGUGGAAUAUGACCAAGCUGGAAUAUGUCAAAAUGUGACUAAAAUAUAGAUUACAAGUCAAAUGGCUUCUACAGACACAUGGCCAAUAUACUGUUUACCUUAAUUAAGAACCAGUACUUUCAUUUUAACCUUUGAUAAAAAUGAGCUCUUUAAAAGUAAGAACUGUGAAUUAUUCAUCCUAAAUUACUUGUGCUUGCUUAGCAAAGUACAUUCUAGAUACUUACCUAAUGCUCAUUAGGUAACACAAAUAUAAGAUUUAAGAAACCUGUUUUGAAAUGUAAUAGGUAGUAAAGGUCUAUCCUGAAAUGUUCUGUUCCAUAAAUUUAAACAUUAAUUUUUAACUGAGAACAAUCACAAAUCAAUUGGAAGAGAUUUUCCUAUAUGAUUAAAAAAUAUCGAAUUUUAAAAGGUGCAUGCCAUAGAACACUGCUUUCAGAGUUUAACGUGGUUUUAUCACGUAAGAACCCAGGCUCUCAAAGGUUUUAUUAUAAUAGGCUGAUACGGAAGGUCAUGGCUCAAGAAGAAAUAUAAUUACUGUGUUUCCCAUGAUUAUUUUACCACAGAAUGUUUUUCAUUGAAUAUAUUUUAGGAAAGUUUGAUGUAAAUGAUGCUGCAAAUUUCAGGUUAGUUUAUUUUUUGCUGAUAUAUUUUCUACAUUUUUUAAUAAGAGAUUUUUUUUCCACAUAACAUUUCAUACAGCUCCUUAAAGGCCUCACUGAACUUAUGUUUCAGGUUGAAUUUAUCUCAGAAAAUGGAGACAUACUGACAGUAUUACUUGUGCCAGGACAGGAUUUUUUUUUCCCCACAUCAUUUGUAAGCUCUCCAGAAUAUAUAACUAAGUAGAGCUUUUCUUGAGAGACCUUCAAGAUGGCGGAAGAGUAAGACGUGGAGAUCACCUUCCUCCCCACAAAUACAUGAGAAAUACAUCUACAUGUGUAACAACUCCUACAGAACACUUACUGAAUGCUGGCAGAAGACCUCAGACUUCCCAAAAGGCAAGAAACUCCCCACGUACCUGGGUAGGGCAAAAGAAGAAAACAGACAAAAGAAUAGGGACAGUACCUGCACCAGUGGGAGGGAGCUGUGAAGGAGGAAAGGUUUCCACACACUAGGAAGCCCCUUCACUGGCGGAGAUGGGGGGUGGGGGGGGGGAGCUUUGGAGCCACGGAGGAGAGCACAGCAGCAGGCGGGCAGAGGGAAAAGCAGAGAGAUUCCCGCACAGAGGAUAGGUGCCGACCAGCACUCACCAGCCCGAGAGGCUCGUCUGCUCACCUGCCGGGGCGGUCGGGGUUUGGGAGCUGAGGCUCGGGCUUCGGAGGUCAAAUCCCAGGGAGAGGACUGGGGUUGGCUGCGUGGACACAGCCUGAAGGGGGUUAGUGCACCACGGCCAGCCGGGAGGGAGUCCGGGAAAAAGUCUGGAGCUGCCGAAGAGGCGAGACCAUUCUUAAGGGGUGCGCAAGGAGAGAGGAUUCAGAGCGUUGCCUAAAUGAGCUCCAGAGAUGGGCGCGAGCUGCGGCGAUCAGCGCGGACCCCAGAGAUGGGCAUGAAACGCGAAGGCUGCUGCUGCCGCCACCAAGAAGCCUGUGUGCGAGCACAGGUCACUAUCCACACCCCCCUUCCGGGGAGCCUGUGCAGCCCGCCACUGCCAGGGUCCCGUGAUCCAGGGACAACUUCCCCGGGAGAACACGUGGCACGCCUCAGGCUGGUGCAAAGUCAUGCCGGCCUCUGCCUCCGCAGGCUCGCCCCGCAUUCUGUACCCCUCCCUCCCCCGGCCUGAGUGAGCCAGAGCCCCCGACUCAGCUGCUCCUUUAACCCUGUCCUGUCUGAGUGAAGCACAGACGCCCUUAGGCGACGUACAUGCAGAGGUGGGGCUGGAUCCAAAGCUGAACCCCAGGAGCUGUGCGAACAAAGAAGAGAAAGGGAAAUCUCUCCCGGCAGCCUCAGGAGGAGCGAAUUAAAUCUCCACAGUCGGGAGUUUCCCUGGUGGUGCAGUGGUUGAGAGUCCGCCUGCCGAUGCAGGGGACACGGGUUCGUGUCCCGGUCCGGAAGGAUCCCAUAUGCCGCGGAGCGGCUGGGCCCGUGAGCCAUGGCCGCUGAGACUGCGCGUCCUGAGCCUGUGCUCCGCAACGGGAGAGGCCACAACAGUGAGAGGCCCGUGUGCCGCAAAAAAAAAAAAAAAAAAACAAACAAAAAAAACUUCCCAAAAUCUUGGAAAUAGAAUGCACAAAAUACAAGAAACCUUUAAGAAGGACCUAGAAGAACUAAAGGGCAAACAAACAAUGAUGAACAACACAAUAAAUGAAAUUAAAAAUUCUCUAGAAGGAAUCAAUAGCAGAAUAACUGAGGCAGAAGAAUGGAUAAGUGACCUGGAAGAUAAAAUAGUGGAAAUAACUACUGCAGAGCAGAAUAAAGAUAAAAGAAUGAAAAGAAUUGAGGACAGUCUCAGAGACCUCUGGGACAACACUAAAUGCACCAACAUUCAAAUUAUAGGGGUCCCAGAAGAAGAAAAGAAAAAAAAAAAGGGACCGAGAAAAUAUUUGA